CAGGGGCAAGGGGCUAGUUAUGGGCUGAUGAAUGUGGUAAGGUGGCCCGAUCCUAGCUUCGGCCCAUAAUGAUCUUUGAACCUAAACCACCGUCCUGAGCAGAAUUCAAGGAUCGAUCUCUAUUGGCUUCAUCAUCAUAUUUUCUUCUGUCUCUGUAGCGAUCGGCUUUCAACACAGACAACUAUAGAUAGCGGGGUAUUUGGGCAUACUAAACUCUGACUUCGGCCAUA
rnacentral:lncRNA from 1 species